rnacentral:rRNA from 1 species
CCCGAAACCAGGUGAGCUACCCCGAGACAGCCUAUGUUAAUUUAGGGCUAACCCGUCUCUGUGGCAAAAGAGUGGGAAGAGCUCCGGGUAGAAGUGACAGACCUACCGAACCUGGUGAUAGCUGGUUGCCUGAAAAAUGGAUAGAAGUUCAGCCUCGCACCCCCCGAUCCAACAAAUAUAUCGUCAAGAUGCUCAGAGAGACAUGCGAGAGUUAGUUAAAAGGGGUACAGCCCUUUUAACAAAGGAUACAACCUUCACAGGAGGAUAAAGAUCAUAAUAUAUAAGAUAUACUGUUCUAGUGGGCCUGAAAGCAGCCACCUAAGCAGAAAGCGUUAAAGCUCGGACAGAGAGAAGUUUAUUAUACUGAUAAGAAAUCUUAUUCCCCUAACUGUAUCAGGCCAACCCAUGCCCCCAUGGAAGAGAUUAUGCUAAAAUGAGUAAUAAGAAGACACGCUCUUCUCCCGGCACACGUGUAAACCAGAUCGGACUGACCACUGGAACUUAACGAACCCAACCCAAGAGGGUAGUGUGAUUAAUAUAAACCUCAAGAAGACCUCACACCAACUGAUCGUUAACCCCACACUGGAGUGCUAUUUCAAGGGAAAGACUAAAAGAGGAGGAAGGAACUCGGCAAACACAAGCCUCGCCUGUUUACCAAAAACAUCGCCUCCUGCAACUAGACUGAGUAUAGGAGGUCCAGCCUGCCCAGUGACUACGGGUUCAACGGCCGCGGUAUCUUGACCGUGCAAAGGUAGCGCAAUCACUUGUCUCUUAAAUAGAGACCUGUAUGAAUGGCUAGACGAGGGCUUAACUGUCUCCCCCCUCCAGUCAGUGAAAUUGAUCUAUCCGUGCAGAAGCGGGUAUAAAUGUACAAGACGAGAAGACCCUUUGGAGCUUAAGGUACAAAAUUCAACCACGUUAAACAACCCUAUAAAAGGCAAGAACUUAGUAGCAAUGAAAUUUUACCUUCGGUUGGGGCGACCGCGGAGGAAAAACAAGCCUCCGAGUGGACUGGGCCAAACCCCUAAAGCCAAAAGAAACAUCUAGAAGCCGCAGAAUAUCUGACCAAAAAUGAUCCGGCUAAAAGCCGAUCAACGAACCAAGUUACCCAAGGGAUAACAGCGCAAUCCCCUCCCAGAGCCCGUAUCGACGAGGGGGUUUACGACCUCGAUGUUGGAUCAGGACAUCCUAAUGGUGC